GACGAACGCUGGCGGCGUGCUUAACACAUGCAAGUCGAACGGAAAGGCCUCUUUCGGGGGGUACUCGAGUGGCGAACGGGUGAGUAACACGUGAGUAACCUGCCCUUGACUUUGGGAUAACUUCAGGAAACUGGGGCUAAUACCGGAUAGGAGCUCCUGCUGCAUGGUGGGGGUUGGAAAGUUUCGGCGGUUGGGGAUGGACUCGCGGCUUAUCAGCUUGUUGGUGUGGUAGUGGCUUACCAAGGCUUUGACGGGUAGCCGGCCUGAGAGGGUGACCGGCCACAUUGGGACUGAGAUACGGCCCAGACUCCUACGGGAGGCAGCAGUGGGGAAUAUUGCACAAUGGGUGGAAGCCUGAUGCAGCAACGCCGUGUGCGGGAUGACGGCCUUCGGGUUGUAAACCGCUUUCGCUCAUGACGAAGCUUUGUGUGACGGUAGUGGGUAAAGAAGCACCGGCUAACUACGUG
rnacentral:rRNA from 1 species